GACUUCCGGGCGUUACUUAAGGUAUAAAUAUGGCUGCGUCGGCGCGGGUCUGUCUCUCUAGGCGUCGCUCUCUUGGUGUGCUUGUUCUUGACCCGGUCAAUGAUUUCAGGUACUUUGUUGAUGGAGGAAAGAAGAGAAUCAGCGGGGGCACCUACUGAAUAGUUAUUAUAUACAGCGUGCUAAAAUUUUGUCUGUUACAGCCUCGGCCAUUAGAAGCUGGGGCAAGCUUUUCUGCCUACUUAACUCUGGUAAAUACAUUUCUUUUGAUAGGUUAUGUCUAGAUUUGAGAACCUUCAGCAUGGUUCUCAUUUUUUGAGGUCCCAACAGGUUUCCCCCAGACCAUAUUAUAUAAACCAUAUAUGUCAUUUUUCUGUUCCCACAUUCUCUGUAAGAUUAUUGUCAUAAGUUAAAAUCUGAAUUAAAGCAUUUGAAUGUCU
ensembl:processed_transcript Snhg3 small nucleolar RNA host gene 3